rnacentral:rRNA from 1 species
AUUGAACGCUGGCGGAAGGCCUAACACCUGCAAGUCGAAAGAGUGGCGGGAGGGUGAGUCAUGUCUGGGAAACUGCCUGAUGGAGGGGGAUAACUACUGGAAACGGUAGCUCAUACAGCAUACCAUCGGAUGUGCCAAGAUGGGAUUAGCUAGUGGGUGGGGUAACGGCUCACCUAGGCGACGAUCCCUAGCUGGUCUGAGAGGAUGACCAUCCACACUGGAACUGAGACACGGUCCAGACUCCGACGGGAGGCAGCAGUGGGUAAUAUUGCACAAUGGGCGCAAGCCUGAUGCAGCCAUGCCGCGUGUGUGAAGAAGGCCUUCGGGUUGUAAAGCACUUUCAGCGGGGAGGCGUUACCCACAGAAGAAGCACCGGCUAACUCCGUGCCAGCAGCCGCGGUAAUUC